rnacentral:sRNA from 1 species
CCGAUGACGUAUUCUGACGAUAAGUAGCCAGUUUAGCCGGGCAAUACCAAUCGCACUCAUAUGUGUAAAUAACACACACGUGUCGACACAUACACCGGGGUGCCCUAAAGUUUUUGAUUGUUAUCAAUCGCUUAUGGGGUCGGUGUUAUGGGACACGUGGAGGCAUAACC